GAGGUCAGGCAAGAACACCCGCUGAAC
rnacentral:rRNA from 1 species